rnacentral:rRNA from 1 species
CGUGUAGGCGGUUUUUUAAGUCUGAUGUGAAAGCCCUGGGCUCAACCUGGGAAGUGCAUUGGAUACUGGAAGACUUGAAUACGGGAGAGGGCAGUGGAAUUCCUGGUGUAGGAGUGAAAUCCGUAGAUAUCAGGAGGAACACCGGUGGCGAAGGUGGCUGCCUGGACCGAUAUUGACGCUGAGACGCGAAAGCGUGGGUAGCAAACA